AACGAACGCUGGCGGCGUGGAUUAGGCAUGCAAGUCGAACGCGAAAGAGGGAGCAAUCCCUCGAGUAGAGUGGCGAACGGGUGAGUAACGCGUGAAGAACCUGCCUUCAACAGGGGGAUAACACGUCCCAACGGGGGUGCUAAUACCACAUGAGACCACGGGUCUGCAUGGACCUGAGGUCAAAGGUGGCCUCUGCUUGCAAGCUACCGGUUGAAGAUGGCUUCGCGUCCCAUUAGCUAGUUGGCGGUGUAAAGGACCACCAAGGCGACGAUGGGUAGCUGGUCUGAGAGGAUGGUCAGCCA
rnacentral:rRNA from 1 species